rnacentral:rRNA from 1 species
CAUAGCGACUAUCGUGGCAUAUCAAUAAGCGGAGGAAAAGAAACUAACAAGGAUUCCCUUAGUAACGGCGAGUGAAGCGGGAAGAGCUCAAAUUUGAAAUCUUCAAGGUUUUACCUUGACGAAUUGUAGUUUAAAGAAGUGUCUUCUGUUGGAGUUUUGGUAAAAGUUCUUUGGAAUAGGACAUCAUAGAGGGUGAGAAUCCCGUAUUUGACCAUUAUUUCCAGCUUUGUGAUACACUUUCAAAGAGUCGGAUUGUUUGGGAAUGCAGUCCAAAAUGGGUGGUAAAUUUCAUCUAAAGCUAAAUAUUGGCGAGAGACCGAUAGCGAACAAGUACCGUGAGGGAAAGAUGAAAAGAACUUUGAAAAGAGAGUUAAACAGUACGUGAAAUUGUCAAAAGGGAAGCGUUUGACACCAGUGUUGUUUUCUCGAAAAUCAAUUAAAAAAGGCCGGAUUUUGUGUUGUAUUGACCUUAAAAGCUUUCUUCACUCUUUUCUUGUCUUUUUUAAUGCACUUUUCGUUUAACAAGUCAACAUCAGUUUCUUUUGUUGUAAAAGGAGUCAUUGAGGAAGGUGGCUUUCUUUUCGGAGAAAGUGUUUAUAGCCUUGUGCCUCUGCAAUCGGAGAGAUUGAGGUCUGCAGCGUAGAUCCUUCGGGGUUAGAUACGUUUGUGCUAAGUUAUAGCUUUUCAUAGACAACUUGUUGACUAUGUUAGUCUUGUAGCUUACUCGCUGAUGCUAUUUUACCUACGCUUAGGAUGUUGACGAGACUGUCGAUCUC